rnacentral:rRNA from 1 species
UAGGGAAUCUUCCACAAUGGACGCAAGUCUGAUGGAGCAACGCCGCGUGAGUGAAGAAGGGUUUCGGCUCGUAAAGCUCUGUUGGUAGUGAAGAAAGAUAGAGGUAGUAACUGGCCUUUAUUUGACGGUAAUUACUUANAAAGUCACGGCUAACUACGUGCCAGCAGCCGCGGUAAUACGUAGGUGGCAAGCGUUGUCCGGAUUUAUUGGGCGUAAAGCGAGUGCAGGCGGUUCAAUAAGUCUGAUGUGAAAGCCUUCGGCUCAACCGGAGAAUUGCAUCAGAAACUGUUGAACUUGAGUGCAGAAGAGGAGAGUGGAACUCCAUGUGUAGCGGUGGAAUGCGUAGAUAUAUGGAAGAACACCAGUGGCGAAGGCGGCUCUCUGGUCUGCAACUGACGCUGAGGCUCGAAAGCAUGGGUAGCGAACAGGAUUAGAUACCCUGGUAGUCCAUGCCGUAAACGAUGAGUGCUAAGUGUUGGGAGGUUUCCGCCUCUCAGUGCUGCAGCUAACGCAUUAAGCACUCCGCCUGGGGAGUACGACCGCAAGGUUG